rnacentral:rRNA from 1 species
UACGCAGGGUGCAACCGUUGCUCGGAAUUAUUGGGCGUAAAGCGCACGUAGGCGGCAUUGCAAGUCGGAUGUGAAAUCUUAUGGCUUAACCAUAAAAGUGCAUCCGAAACUGCAGUGCUUGAGUACUUAAGAGGAUCGCGGAAUUCCCGGUGUAGAGGUGAAAUUCGUAGAUAUCGGGAGGAACACCAGUGGCGAAGGCGGCGAUCUGGGAAGAUACUGACGCUGAGGUGCGAAAGCGUGGGGAGCAAACAGG